rnacentral:rRNA from 1 species
AGCAGCCGCGGUAAUUCCAGCUCCAAUAGCGUAUAUUAAAGUUGUUGCAGUUAAAAAGCUCGUAGUUGAAUUUCGGGAUCAGUACGUUGGUCGUGCCUUGGUACGUACUGGCGUCACUGGUUCCUACCUUCUGACGAACCGUCAUGUCAUUAAUUUGGUGUGGCGGGGAAUCAGGACUGUUACUUUGAAAAAAUUAGAGUGUUUUAAAGCAGGCUCGCGCUUGAAUACAUUAGCAUGGAAUAAUGAAAUAGGACGUUCGAUCCUAUUUUGUUGGUUUCUAGGAUUGACGUAAUGAUUAAUAGGGAUAGUUGGGGGCAUUAGUAUUCAAUUGUCAGAGGUGAAAUUCUUGGAUUUAUUGAAGACUAACUACUGCGAAAGCAUUUGCCAAGGAUGUUUUCAUUAAUCAAGAACGAAAGUUAGGGGAUCGAAGACGAUCAGAUACCGUCGUAGUCUUAACCCAUAAACUAUGCCGACUAGGGAUCGGAUGAUGUUAUUUUUAAUGACUCAUUUCGGCGCCUUA